rnacentral:rRNA from 1 species
GAUGAACGCUAGCUACAGGCUUAACACAUGCAAGUCGAGGGGAAACGCUGAGAGAGCUUGCUCUCUUAGGCGUCGACCGGCGCACGGGUGACUAACGCAUAUCCAACCUACCCCUGACAGAGGUAUAACCUUGCGAGAGUAAGACUAAUACCCCAUGGCAUUUUAUGGUGGCAUCAUUAUAGGAUUAAAGAUUUAUGGGUAAUGGAUUGGGAUGCGUCUGAUUAGCUUGUUGGCGGGGUAACGGCGCACCAAGGAAACGAUCAGUAGGGGUUGUGAGAGGAAGGUCCCCCACAGUGGGACCGAGACACGGGCCAAAAUCCUACGGGAGGCAGCAGUGAGGAAUACUGGUCAAGGGGAGAGAGCUUGAUCCAGCCAAGUAGCGUGCAGGAUGACCGCGCUAGGGGUUGUAAACUGCUUUUAUAGGGGAAUAUAGUGAGCUACGGGUAGUUUAUUGCAGGUACCCUAUGAAUAAGGACCGGCUAAUUCCGUG